GGCCCGUUGGUCAAGUGGUUAAGACACCGCCCUUUCACGGCGGUAACACGGGUUCGAGUCCCGUACGGGUCA
rfam:Enterococcus dispar ATCC 51266 genomic scaffold acpMG-supercont1.1, whole genome shotgun sequence.